rnacentral:rRNA from 1 species
UAAUACGUAGGGGGCGAGCGUUGUCCGAAGUUACUGGGCGUAAAGCGCGCGUAGGCGGUCUCUUAAGUCCGGGGUGAAAGGUUCAGCGCUCAACGCGAACAGUGCCUUGGAGACUGGGAGACUUGAGUGUGGGAGGGGGCAGUGGAAUUCCGGGUGUAGCGGUGAAAUGCGUAGAUAUCCGGAGGAACACCGAUGGCGAAGGCAGCUGCCUGGCCUGACACUGACGCUGAGGUGCGAAAGCGUGGGGAGCGAACGGGAUUAGAUACCCCGGUAGUCCACGCCGUAAACGAUGAGUGCUAGGUGUUCGGGGUAUCGACCCCCCGGGUGCCGCCGCUAACGCAGUAAGCACUCCGCCUGGGGAGUACGGCCGCAAGGUUG